ACAGACAGCGAGGGGCAGUCCAUGGUCAGGACGUCGUGCGGAACAGAAGGUUUCAAGAACAUCAAGAAGUCGACACCCAUCGCCGCUCAGACUGCGGGCAUUUCUGCUGCUUCGAAAGCCACACCGAAGGGAGUAACGUUUGUUCGAGUUGUGGUCCAAGGUCUUGGUCCUGACGUCUGUCUGCGAUCAAAGGCUUGACGAUGGGAGGCCUGGACGUGGUAUCGAUCACCGACCACACCCCCGUGCCACACAACGGAUGCCGCCCGCGCAAAGCCAGAAGGACGUGAUCCUCUUGUACCAGAGCGAGCAGCAGGAUGGAGAUGUUGUGUUGAAAGAUGCUAAUAAAGAGUUAAAUUGUGUAACUGCCUCUGAGCUGUUCAUAAGUUGUUAGUCGGUGGAAAUAAUGGCAGAGCGUGUUGUUAAUGAGCUGAGAACAGGUGUGUCUGUCCUCUGCUCACUGCAGACAGCGAUAUGGACAUUAGAGCACUGAUGUUUACACACACACUCUUGUACUACUAUUUUAGUGAGGACACUCAUCUGCAUAAUGAAUUCCCAGGCCCCAAAUAUGUUAAGCACUUGGCUUUUAAGCACUUUACUCACCCUAUUGUCAACUUAUAAUUAUAUAUGGAUAUGCCAGAUGUUUUUAAUUAGUUUGAGAUAUACACUACUGUUCAAAAGUUUGGGGUCAUUUAGAAUUUUUCUUAUUUUCAAAGAAAAGCACUGUUUUUUUCAAUGAAGAUAACAUUAAAUUAAUCAGAAAUAAAAUCUAUACAUUGUUAAUGUGGUAAAUCAUUAUUCUAGGUGGAAACGUCUGGUUUUUAAACAUGUGAACCACCAGCAUGGUGAAUACUGUUGUCGCUUUGUGACCAUUGAAACUGG